rnacentral:rRNA from 1 species
UACGUAGGGGGCUAGCGUUGUCCGGAAUUAUUGGGCGUAAAGCGCGCGCAGGCGGUCUCUUAAGUCUGAUGUGAAAGCCCACGGCUCAACCGUGGAGGGUCAUUGGAAACUGGGGGACUUGAGUACAGAAGAGGAAAGCGGAAUUCCACGUGUAGCGGUGAAAUGCGUAGAGAUGUGGAGGAACACCAGUGGCGAAGGCGGCUUUCUGGUCUGUAACUGACGCUGAGGCGCGAAAGCGUGGGGAGCAAACAGG